rnacentral:rRNA from 1 species
UCUCCUGGAAACGGGUGGUAAUGCCGGAUGCUCCGACUCCUCGCAUGGGGUGUCGGGAAAGAUUUCAUCGGUAUGGGAUGGGGUCGCGUCCUAUCAGGUAGUCGGCGGGGUAACGGCCCACCGAGCCUACGACGGGUAGCCGGCCUGAGAGGGCGACCGGCCACAUUGGGACUGAGAUACGGCCCAGACUCCUACGGGAGGCAGCAGUGGGGAAUAUUGCACAAUGGGCGCAAGCCUGAUGCAGCGACGCCGCGUGCGGGAUGACGGCCUUCGGGUUGUAAACCGCUUUUGAUCGGGAGCAAGCCUUCGGGUGAGUGUACCUUUCGAAUAAGCACCGGCUAACUACGUGCCAGCAGCCGCGGUAAUACGUAGGGUGCAAGCGUUAUCCGGAAUUAUUGGGCGUAAAGGGCUCGUAGGCGGUUCGUCGCGUCCGGUGUGAAAGUCCAUCGCUUAACGGUGGAUCUGCGCCGGGUACGGGCGGGCUGGAGUGCGGUAGGGGAGACUGGAAUUCCCGGUGUAACGGUGGAAUGUGUAGAUAUCGGG